rnacentral:rRNA from 1 species
AUGCUCUACCACCAGAUCCACCGCCAGCUCCAUCCGGAUGUGGGGAGCGACACUUCCUCGUCGUCGUCGGGCGUCCAGUCGGUGGGCUCCAAGAUCCGUGGCGCUAAAAGGGCACGAAUUGGUGGGGAUGAGGAUGCCAGCACCGGUCGAAUUCAUGAGAUCUUGAAGCAAAUGUGUGAAGCUGGAGAUGAUGUUCGUGAGGCGCUCAAGAUGGAGAAGCUGGACGCUGUUGUCACCUACGGAGGUCUGAAUGCUGGUAUGGAUCACCGCCGCCCGACAAAAGCUUUUGUUACAGAGCCGAAGAUAUUUGGGAGGGAUGCCGUGAAGGAGCGCAUUGUGGAGACGCUGGUGAGUGCUGAGGCUUGUGGUGUCGAUUUGUCAGUCGAAGGCAAGGUGGGGUGUUGGGAAAACUACUCUAGCACAGCUCGUUUACAACGAUGCGAGAGUGCAAGGUUGCUUCAGCAAGCGGAUAUGGGUCUCGGUGUCUGCUGA